GCGCCCUUAGCUCAGCUGGAUAGAGCNNAACGGAUUUCUAAUCCGUGGGUCAGAGGUUCGAAUCCUUUAGGGCGCGCCA
rnacentral:tRNA from 1 species